AUUCAUGUUUUGUACUGUAUAACAUAUAAUUUUGACAAUAUGGGUCAUAAGUUUCUACCGGAAUACCGUAAAUAUUCUGACUAUGUAUACUAUUAUUUAGUUA
rnacentral:ncRNA from 22 species